UUCUCUAAAUACCAGCUGAUUCCCUUAUUUUUCAGGGUAUUGCCUUGCUCAGGUUUCAAGGGUUACAGUCAGCAGAAAAAGCCUGCAUCGGACGCAUGUGUCCUGAGAGCAUUCUGAGUUGAAAUAAACAUCCCUGUGUUUCCAUCUCUGCAUGCUUUUCUGAAGUAUAAUUGUUGGGUCGAAAGCAGCUUCAGGAACUGCUUGUCUUCAUAGUCAAAGCGGCUUCCAAAGACGACAGAACUGAUGACAUUUGAGACAGUGCGGCUCAGGAAGAAGCUGGGAUGUGGAAUUGAUGGCUGGAGCUCUAGCAGUCAUUUGCAUCAUGACAUGAUCUUGGGAAUGGAAAACACACAUCAUAGAACAAGAGAGAAGAGCCAGACCCUGUGGAGCACCCUACACUGACAACCUCUGAAAGUGUCCAAUAUAUGGCAAAGAUCACCAGGACAGACAUGUGGCAGACAGGAAGAGGUAAAAACCUCUCAGAUGUCCAUGUUACCAGGAAGAAGGAACCGUCCUUGGCCAUGGGCCCUGGAAUCAGAGAUCCUGGGAUUCAGCCUCUUCAGUAACCUGAAUACCUUUGGAUUAAAAUCCUGGGGGUUGGAUCCCACGUGGGAGUUGCCACAGGUGUGGAGUUUAUGUAACUUCUAGUCUCCUCUGAGCUCACUGUUGAGUGCUGUGUCUUCAUCCCCCCCCCCAGCCCCUCCUCACUCAUGUCAGCACCCUCCAAUUUUGAGAACAGGUCCAAGGUCACGGAAUAUUCUAGGGUCAGGGAGAACCAGGUUUGAGCUCUGCCUCUGCUUCUUUAUUGGUGAGUGUGACUUUGAACAAGACACCUAAUUUCUUUGAGCCUCAGUUUCCAUUCCCAUAAAAUGAGAUACCCAUAACAGUACCUUCCUUGCCAAACCUGGAUGUUUGUGCAGAUUGGAUGUAUUUAAAGCUGUCAGCACUGUGGCAUUACUAUCACUCAACAACCAAUUCUUUCUAAUCCGGGGUCCUCAGCCCUUUGAAAUCUCUUCUCAGGAAUUUACUGUAACUGGGGACACUGGAGAGGGCAGAGAGACUGAGCAGGGCUGAGUGCAGACUAUAGUCAGUGGCAGGUCAUAGACAGACCACAGCACAGACCGCCAGUGGGUGCUAGACCAGCAGGGAGAAGAGGUGGGGGCUGCCCAUUCCUGAGCAUCUUCUAUGCGCCAGUUCUGUGCUAGAUUCCCGACUGUCGCACUCAUAUGGAUCUUCACGUCUUUGUGCAUCAUUUCCAUUUUACACAUGGACAGGCUGAGGCUUGCCCAGGUUACAGGGCUCUCAGGGGCAGAGUUAGGAU